GGACCAGGCGCUCGCAGGUCCCGGACUCGCACGGUGCGGAAACCAGAUGCAGAGCCAAGCUGAACGUCAGCGCCUUGCUUUUAAGAGAAGGACGAGCUCUUCUAACAUUACCCGGCUGUAAGCACAGGACGAUAUUUGGUUGCCAUCAUUUGCUGUUUACUGCAGCCUCAAAGUGUUGAGGGAAGAGAAUCUAAUUUGCCGCAUUUCAGUUUUGGUAGGGGGAAGCACAGGGAGACCAUGCAAGCUCCACAAAGUAGAAGAAACCCGCACACUUAAAUCUCAAUGUUAAAAAG